rnacentral:rRNA from 1 species
GGAGCACGCCGCGUGAGUGAUGAAGGUUUUCGGAUCGUAAAGCUCUGUUGCCCUAGACGAAUAGCAAGGUGAGUAACUGCACUUUGUGUGACGGUUUAGGAGAAGAAAGCCCCGGCUAACUACGUGCCAGCAGCCGCGGUAAUACGUAGGGGGCAAGCGUUGUCCGGAAUUAUUGGGCGUAAAGCGCGCGCAGGCGGUUAAUUAAGUUGGGUGUUUAAGCCCGGGGCUCAACCCCGGUUCGCAUCCAAAACUGGUUGACUUGAGUGUAGGAGAGGAAAGUGGAAUUCCACGUGUAGCGGUGAAAUGCGUAGAGAUGUGGAGGAACACCAGUGGCGAAGGCGACUUUCUGGCCUAUAACUGACGCUGAGGCGCGAAAGCGUGGGGAGCAAACAGGAUUAGAUACCCUGGUAGUCCACGCCGUAAACGAUGCAUACUAGGUGUUGGGGAUUCGAUUCCUCGGUGCCCAAGUUAACACAGUAAGUAUGCCGCCCGGGGAGUACGCUCGCAAGAGUGAAACUCACAGGAAUUGACGGGGACCCGCACAAGCACUGGAGUAUGUGGUUUAAUUCUAAGCAACGCGCAGAACCUUACCAGGUCUUGACAUCCCGAUGUAACACCUAGAGAUAGGUG